rnacentral:lncRNA from 1 species
AAGAAGAAAGUAAAUACUCACAAGCCAGAACAAGAGUGAAAAGAUAUAAUGUGGUGCACAAGAUCUGGAGUUUUAAUCUCUUAAAGAAGAUGUAUGCUGAUGGAGCUUUAGAUAUGUUAUUUUACUGGUAUUGUUUUGCCAUAUAUGAACUUCUGAAACACCUGUUUCCUAAUAAAUGGAUUAUUUAUUAAUCUCUAAGAAUACUUCCAAUGGGAAUGAAUUAAGAUGCAUGGAUGACUAAAGGACUAAGUUUCAGGGCUAUUAAUUCUGCUACUCAUAGUGCUGAGACUGCAUUUGGCAUCAGCCUGGAGUUGGCUGCUACCAUUCUGUGGCUAACUAAGUAAGAGGUAUCAGAGAGAGAGAUUAUACUGGAAAAAUAGGUAAAAACAAUGACCAAAUACUUACAUAGCCUGAUGUUUAGAUGACAGAAGAAUGAGGAUGACACAAAGAACUGAAUUUAAGGGCAGGAUUGAAAUCAAAUAUCUUUUGUCUUCAUUUUAGCAUCAAAUGUGACAUGUGAUAUUUGGAUGCAUAAUAAACUUUUAAAAAUAUACUUAUUUAAUAUCCUGGAGAAAAUAUUUCAGUAGAAGAGAAAGUUUAUAAUAGCUUCAUUUUUGACAUUAAUAAACUGAUGUUUAGGAAAUUAUAGUAGUUUUAAAUUAAGAUAAAUGAUUUCAUAGCACAUAUACUAUACAAAUAAUUACAGUGAAUGAUUGAAAAUAUAUCUAUAUAUACUUUACACACACCAAUCACUUCAGUUUAAAUUAUAAUUAAUUUAAAUAAUAGAGUGAUUUUUAACAGUUCAAAUUUGAGAAGACUGUUUUCAGAUAGGAAUAUAUAAGAAUAAAAUGUAUUUGGAGAAUGUUAAAAUUAAUCAUAUCAUGAAUAUUUACUAUAGAUAGCAACAUCCAUUUUUUCAUCUAAACUUUUGAAAGUAUGUAUUUAUAGAAUCCUAAAUUAAAAGCAAAGCUUUGAAUUUGAGUCACUAUACUUAUAAGAAUCAAAAAAAAAAAUUUAGCCAAAAUUUCCGGUCUGUUCUCUAACAAUCAUUCAAACCAACUCAUUGAUACCUUUGUUUUUAUUUUAGUGUCAAUCUUACUGGAUUAAUGGGAACCAUGUUAAAAUACUGGUGUUUCUGGGUAUUUAUUUAUAUUUUUUUAUUUUGUUGUCUAAAUUUGUUAGAUGGAAGUAGUGAGGAUCAAAUUAUUCCAGAUCCCAGCUAUGCACAAAAAAGUGUUCUGUGUUGAGAGCAAUUAAAAAGAACUGCUCUUUCCCUGUACUGUCAUCCCACACAUUGAUGAGCCUUUAUAAUAAAAGAAUAAAACUCCUUACACAUAAUUAGCCAGUACAAACUGAUGAACGAAUUAAAUAAAAUGUGUUUUGCUUAAAGACAUGACCAUCAAUCUGCAGUCCACUCCAUCACUAAUUAUUUGUAAAUGUAAUGAAUUAGUCAGAUCAUCCCAUCCUCCCACACUAUUCUUAAGGGGUAAAGAUGAGGAUCUCAGACUCAUAUGGAUCUUUUAAAAUAUAGUUACUGAGCUUGAUUAGUUCAGUUACAAAAAGAAUGCAAAGAAUAAAAGGGCUUAUAGGGCUUCAGUGGAAUUUACUAAAAUUCCUAAACUUUUAAAGGAAAUGUCUUCUCUAGUGACUUUCUAGAAAAGUUUUAAUGUCUAGACAAAGUUCAAUAAUUUAAUGAACAGGAGUUCAAUAACUUAUUAUUGAUUGAAGUUGGAUUUGGAAGAGAUGACUUUUAAAAUGGAGUAUUAUAACCAUUGGUCAGUUGGGAGUAAUGCCUACUAUAUUCUGAGCCCUCCCAAUCCAACCUAAGGAAAAUCCUGCUCUAACUAGAGAGCCAGCCAAAGCUGUUAAGUGUGGUAGAUACCGUUCUUUUGAUAUGGUUUUAAAUAACUAGUCAUGCUAUGUAAUGAAAAAUAUGUACCUCUAUUCUUUUUCUCUCCAUCUUUCUAUAUAGAACAUAUAUUUCUAUGCAUUGAUUUCAUAACAUACAUGUAUGUGUAUCUCUAUAUCUAUAGAUUUCUGUAUCUACUAUAUCUCUUACUUAUCUUUAUAUCUAUCUAGUAGAGGUUUAUACUAUUUUUAUAAGAAAUGAUAUGUCACAAGCCACCCCAAAACUAGCUGCUUAAGAAACAUUUAUUGUUAUGGACAAUAAAUAUUGGCUGGCUAUUGACAGUUUCCCGUAACUAGGAGUUCCACUGAUCUCGAGUAGGCUUGCUACUAGGGUGGGAUGUGAUUUGGUUUUGUAUGUCUUUUGCCCACCGUUUUGGUCAAAUAGGCUAGCUUUGACAUUUUUCCCUAUAGAAACAUCACAAGCAUAAGAGAGAAAGUGGUAAAAGGUGAGGCCAUUUCUCUUAUUCUAUUGGCCAAAUUAGGUUACAGGAAGAGAAAAUUAUUUCAUCAGUUAUUGUGUGAUACCGUGAGGUCAAAAGGUGGUAACUUUAAGUGGAUGGAGAAUUGGUAGGUAAUUCAGUCAGAUUGAUUUCAAAUAACUGAUUCCCAGUUGCUCUGAUAAAUAGACAUAAAAAUUCCAGUUAUUUUUAAUCCUUUGCUUCCUCAGUUCUCUUAGAGUUUAUUAUAUCAGUCUGUGUUUAAUUAUAAUUUCCUCAAAAUUCAUAAAUGAGAUUAAAAAUUAAUUCUCUUUUUUUUAAGAUUGAGAAAGGAAAUGUACCUGCUUGGGAGAAAGUGACUCUGACAUUUUAAUAUUCACAAUAAUUAUUGUUAAUAGUGAAUGGCAAGACUAGAAAGCCUACAAUUGUGUUAUCUUUUUUAAUUCAUCAAAUGUAGAUAUUAUUACUCCAUUGCCCAAAAUUCUCCUAUUGGGAAAUAAGUCUCAAAGAAGUGGUUAAACAAUGUUGACUAGGUUACAUAGUUAAGAACCAUAAGACUUGUUUCAAAACCCAGCAGUCAUUGACAUCAAAGUGCACGCUUUAAUUGCCAGCAGGCACUUGCUCCCAUAAAGAAACAGACAUCAUCAGAUGCAUACCUUCAGUGAACUUUAAUAUAUAACACGUGGGUUUGGAGUAACCCCACCUAUAUUCAAACUCAGCUCAAAUUAUUAAUAACAAUCAAAACUUUGUAAAAUUCCUUAAAAUACCAGGAUUUCCUUGGGUGCUAAUAAAAAUAACAAUAAUAUCUAUACUUUAAGAAUUCUUUAGAACUUAUUAGAUACUGUAAAAUGUUUACAGAGUUCAUACACAUAGUAAGACAAAGUGAACUAAUUACUAUUAUUAUGGUUUUUAGCAUUAUCCUAGAUUGCAGAAGCAUGUUUCAAAAUUGUCUAAGCAACUUGAUGAGAAAAAACUAGUAAAAUUGACUGUUGUGUGAUAAUUAUUUACUCUUUUCUCUCCUUUUUUCUUUUUUAAUUUUCCAAACUCCUACUUCAUGAAAAUACUCUAAAGUUAUAGAUUCUGCAUCAAAUGCUCUACCAUUGAACUAUACCCUUGGGUUAUAAUUUCUGAGUAAUCUUCUUCUUGCCAGUGUCUAUGAUAAGACCAAGUUCCCCUAGGCUUUUUAACACAGAUUCUAGGAGAAGAAAACAUGCAUAUCUGGCACUAAAGUUGGGAGGAAAAAGUGACUUCAGAACUGGGGGGUUCAAAAAAAGGUGUAACGAGGUAAAGAGCUAGCCUACAGAGACCAGAGAAAGAAAGAUAAACAGGGAGCAUGGUGAAGACUUUGGAUACUGGGAUCUAGUCUCUUAUUGUGCCCUGUACUUCCAUUUUUUCUAUGUUUAAAAAAAUGAGAUAAAUUUAUCUUUACUAAAGAUAGAGUUGAAUUUCAAUUCCUUGAAGACAACCAGUUCUAACUGAUGUAUAGAUCAUUGCCUGUAUAUAGAGCCCAAGGAAAUUUGUACAUUAAAAAUGUGGGAAUAGGAGUUCCCAUUGUGGCUCAGUAAAAACGAAUCUGACUAGUAUCCACAAGGAUGCAGGUUCAAUCCUUGGCCUCCCUCAGUGGGUUAAAGAUCUGUCAUUGCCAUGAGUGGUGCAGGUUGCAGAUGUGGCUCAGAUCCGGCAUUGCUGUGGCUGUGGCCUAGGCCAGAGGCUACAACUCCAAUUCAGUCCCUAACCUGGGAACCUCCAUAUGC